UUAAGCGACUAAGCGUACACGGUGGAUGCCCUGGCAGUCAGAGGCGAUGAAGGACGUGCUAAUCUGCGAUAAGCGUCGGUGAGGUGAUAUGAACCGUUAUAACCGGCGAUUUCCGAAUGGGGAAACCCAGUGUGUUUCGACACACUAUCAUUAACUGAAUCCAUAGGUUAAUGAGGCGAACCGGGGGAACUGAAACAUCUAAGUACCCCGAGGAAAAGAAAUCAACCGAGAUUCCCCCAGUAGCGGCGAGCGAACGGGGAGCAGCCCAGAGCCUGAAUCAGUGUGUGUGUUAGUGGAAGCGUCUGGAAAGGCGCGCGAUACAGGGUGACAGCCCCGUACACAAAAAUGCACAUGCUGUGAGCUCGAUGAGUAGGGCGGGACACGUGGUAUCCUGUCUGAAUAUGGGGGGACCAUCCUCCAAGGCUAAAUACUCCUGACUGACCGAUAGUGAACCAGUACCGUGAGGGAAAGGCGAAAAGAACCCCGGCGAGGGGAGUGAAAAAGAACCUGAAACCGUGUACGUACAAGCAGUGGGAGCCUCUUUAUGGGGUGACUGCGUACCUUUUGUAUAAUGGGUCAGCGACUUAUAUUCUGUAGCAAGGUUAACCGAAUAGGGGAGCCGAAGGGAAACCGAGUCUUAACUGGGCGUUAAGUUGCAGGGUAUAGACCCGAAACCCGGUGAUCUAGCCAUGGGCAGGUUGAAGGUUGGGUAACACUAACUGGAGGACCGAACCGACUAAUGUUGAAAAAUUAGCGGAUGACUUGUGGCUGGGGGUGAAAGGCCAAUCAAACCGGGAGAUAGCUGGUUCUCCCCGAAAGCUAUUUAGGUAGCGCCUCGUGAAUUCAUCUCCGGGGGUAGAGCACUGUUUCGGCAAGGGGGUCAUCCCGACUUACCAACCCGAUGCAAACUGCGAAUACCGGAGAAUGUUAUCACGGGAGACACACGGCGGGUGCUAACGUCCGUCGUGAAGAGGGAAACAACCCAGACCGCCAGCUAAGGUCCCAAAGUCAUGGUUAAGUGGGAAACGAUGUGGGAAGGCCCAGACAGCCAGGAUGUUGGCUUAGAAGCAGCCAUCAUUUAAAGAAAGCGUAAUAGCUCACUGGUCGAGUCGGCCUGCGCGGAAGAUGUAACGGGGCUAAACCAUGCACCGAAGCUGCGGCAGCGACGCUUAUGCGUUGUUGGGUAGGGGAGCGUUCUGUAAGCCUGCGAAGGUGUGCUGUGAGGUAUGCUGGAGGUAUCAGAAGUGCGAAUGCUGACAUAAGUAACGAUAAAGCGGGUGAAAAGCCCGCUCGCCGGAAGACCAAGGGUUCCUGUCCAACGUUAAUCGGGGCAGGGUGAGUCGACCCCUAAGGCGAGGCCGAAAGGCGUAGUCGAUGGGAAACAGGUUAAUAUUCCUGUACUUGGUGUUACUGCGAAGGGGGGACGGAGAAGGCUAUGUUGGCCGGGCGACGGUUGUCCCGGUUUAAGCGUGUAGGCUGGUUUUCCAGGCAAAUCCGGAAAAUCAAGGCUGAGGCGUGAUGACGAGGCACUACGGUGCUGAAGCAACAAAUGCCCUGCUUCCAGGAAAAGCCUCUAAGCAUCAGGUAACAUCAAAUCGUACCCCAAACCGACACAGGUGGUCAGGUAGAGAAUACCAAGGCGCUUGAGAGAACUCGGGUGAAGGAACUAGGCAAAAUGGUGCCGUAACUUCGGGAGAAGGCACGCUGAUAUGUAGGUGAAGCGACUUGCUCGUGGAGCUGAAAUCAGUCGAAGAUACCAGCUGGCUGCAACUGUUUAUUAAAAACACAGCACUGUGCAAACACGAAAGUGGACGUAUACGGUGUGACGCCUGCCCGGUGCCGGAAGGUUAAUUGAUGGGGUUAGCGGUAACGCGAAGCUCUUGAUCGAAGCCCCGGUAAACGGCGGCCGUAACUAUAACGGUCCUAAGGUAGCGAAAUUCCUUGUCGGGUAAGUUCCGACCUGCACGAAUGGCGUAAUGAUGGCCAGGCUGUCUCCACCCGAGACUCAGUGAAAUUGAACUCGCUGUGAAGAUGCAGUGUACCCGCGGCAAGACGGAAAGACCCCGUGAACCUUUACUAUAGCUUGACACUGAACAUUGAGCCUUGAUGUGUAGGAUAGGUGGGAGGCUUUGAAGUGUGGACGCCAGUCUGCAUGGAGCCGGCCUUGAAAUACCACCCUUUAAUGUUUGAUGUUCUAACGUUGGCCCCUGAUCGGGGUUGCGGACAGUGUCUGGUGGGUAGUUUGACUGGGGCGGUCUCCUCCUAAAGAGUAACGGAGGAGCACGAAGGUUGGCUAAUCCUGGUCGGACAUCAGGAGGUUAGUGCAAUGGCAUAAGCCAGCUUGACUGCGAGCGUGACGGCGCGAGCAGGUGCGAAAGCAGGUCAUAGUGAUCCGGUGGUUCUGAAUGGAAGGGCCAUCGCUCAACGGAUAAAAGGUACUCCGGGGAUAACAGGCUGAUACCGCCCAAGAGUUCAUAUCGACGGCGGUGUUUGGCACCUCGAUGUCGGCUCAUCUCAUCCUGGGGCUGUAGUCGGUCCCAAGGGUAUGGCUGUUCGCCAUUUAAAGAGGUACGUGAGCUGGGUUUAAAACGUCGUGAGACAGUUUUGUCCCUAUCUGCCGUGGGCGUUGGAAGAUUGACGGGGGCUGCUCCUAGUACGAGAGGACCGGAGUGGACUCACCUCUGGUGUACCGGUUGUCACGCCAGUGGCAUCGCCGGGUAGCUAUGUGGGGAAAGGAUAACCGCUGAAAGCAUCUAAGCGGGAAACCUGCCUGAAGAUAAGUCUUCCUGGAGGCUUUGACCUCCCUAAAGAGUCGUUCGAGACCAGGACGUUGAUAGGUUGGAUGUGCAAGCGCUGUGAGGCGUUGAGCUGACCAAUACUAAUUGCUCGUGAAGCUUGAUCCU
rnacentral:rRNA from 1 species